AUUGAACGCUGGCGGCAGGCCUAACACAUGCAAGUCGAGCGGUAGCACAGAGAGCUUGCUCUCGGGUGACGAGCGGCGGACGGGUGAGUAAUGUCUGGGAAACUGCCUGAUGGAGGGGGAUAACUACUGGAAACGGUAGCUAAUACCGCAUAAUGUCGCAAGACCAAAGAGGGGGACCUUCGGGCCUCUUGCCAUCAGAUGUGCCCAGAUGGGAUUAGCUAGUAGGUGGGGUAACGGCUCACCUAGGCGACGAUCCCUAGCUGGUCUGAGAGGAUGACCAGCAACACUGGAACUGAGACACGGUCCAGACUCCUACGGGAGGCAGCAUUGGGGAAUAUUGCACAAUGGGCGCAAGCCUGAUGCAGCCAUGCCGCGUGUAUGAAGAAGGCCUUCGGGUUGUAAAGUACUUUCAGCGGUGAGGAAGGUGUUGUGGUUAAUAACCACAGCAAUUGACGUUACCCGCAGAAGAAGCACCGGCUAACUCCGUGCCAGCCGCCGCAGUAAGAC
rnacentral:rRNA from 1 species